AUCUUCGGCAAUGGGCGCAAGCCUGACCGAGCGACGCCGCGUGCGGGAUGAAGGCCCUUGGGUUGUAAACCGCUGUCAGAGGGGAUGAAAUCUCCGGAGGUUCUCCUCCGGAGUUGACAGAGCCUCAGAGGAAGCACGGGCUAAGUAUGUGCCAGCAGCCGCGGUAAUACAUACUGUGCGAACGUUAUUCGGAAUCACUGGGCUUAAAGGGUGCGUAGGCGGUGGUUCAAGUCAGAUGUGAAAUGCCUGAGCUCAACUGAGGCAUUGCGUUUGAAACUGGAUCGCUUGAGUAUCCCAGGGGUGUGCGGAACUGCCAGUGGAGCGGUGAAAUGUGUUGAUAUUGGCAGGAACACCGGAGGCGAAAGCGGCACACUGGGGGAUAACUGACGCUGAGGCACGAAAGCCAGGGUAGCGUACGGGAUUAGAUACCCCGGUAGUCCUGGCUGUAAACGAUGAGCACUGGGCGGGAGGAAGUUCGCUUCUUCCUGCCGUAGCGAAAGCGUUAAGUGCUCCGCCUGGGGAGUAUGGUCGCAAGGCUGAAACUCAAAGGAA
rnacentral:rRNA from 1 species